rnacentral:lncRNA from 1 species
CCCAACUCACAUGAAAAAACCGUACCUACAAUCACCUUCCCCAAAAUCAGAGAACAAAUAAAGCCUUAAUUUUAAAUCCCAAAUCAGAACAAAACCCCAAGUAGAAACCUCAAUCACGAGCCUAGUUGUCGUGAAAACGUCUGAGAACGGAGACCAUCACACCGUAAAACGCUAGCCUGCUCUUUUCCUCCAUGACGACUACCUCAAAUAGGGAUUCUCGCACCGUGAAUACAUCGGAGUUCGAGUACUCACGAGAUGAACCAGAAGAAAGAAGAAAAGAGUCUUCCUUAAUUGAGAAACUCACACACGACAAAUGAAAGGGAAAAUGGCACCCCAAGCAGGUCUAUUCGUGAGAAAGGCAACAUCAUGACGAAAAUUUUCUAAUUG